rnacentral:misc_RNA from 1 species
GAUGAAGAACGUAGCGAAAUGCGAUAAGUAAUGUGAAUUGCAGAAUUCAGUGAAUCAUCGAAUCUUUGAACGCACAUUGCGCCCCUUGGUAUUCCAUGGGGCAUGCCUGUUCGAGCGUCAUUUGUACCCUCAAGCACUGCUUGGUGUUGGGUGUUUGUCCCGCUUUGCGCGUGGACUCGCCUUAAAGCAAUUGGCAGCCGGCAGAUUGGCCUGGAUCGCGAGCACAUUUUGCGACCUUGUCAUAACUGUUUGGCACCCAUCAAGACUAUUUUUUGCUCUUGACCUCGGAUCAGGUAGGGAUACCCGCUGAACUUAAGCAUAUCAAUAAGCGGAGGA